AUUGAACGCUAGCGGUAUGCUUUACACAUGCAAGUCGAACGAGUGGCGGACGGGUGAGUAAUAUAUGGGAACGUGCCCAGUAGAGGGGGAUAAUUACUCGAAAGAGUGGCUAAUAACGCCUACUAUGGGAGCGGCCGAUAUCGGAUUAGCUAGUUGGUGGGGUAAAGGCUCACCAAGGCAACGAUCCGUAGCUGGUCUGAGAGGACGACCAGCCACACUGGGACUGAGCCACGGCCCAGACUCCUACGGGAUGCAAGAGUGGGGAAUUUUUGACAAUGGGGGAAACCCUGAUCCAGCCAUCCCGCGUGGAUUGGAAGGCCUUCGGGUUGUAAAGUACUUUUGGCAGAGAAGCGGUACCUUCAGAAUAAGCACCGGCUAACUACGUGCCAGCAGCCGCGGUAAUAC
rnacentral:rRNA from 1 species